CAGAGAAAAACUUAGAUGAUGCUUCGCUGCAGAUCUGAGUCAGAAUUAGUUUUGUAUCUACAUCUUCACUCCUCCUACACUGAAGCACAGUUUUCUGCAUAUCUUCACCUAAAACAUCCACCCAGUAACAGUUCCUAAUGAAUUUAAAUCUCAUAAAACACUAAAAUUUACUUUUAUCGCUGGUGCGCUGCUCUCAGGAGUGAAAGAAAACUAACAAAAGAUUCACAAACAAAAGAACAAUGUUCAUUUUACUCAAACAUAUAGAGUAAAAUCAGAGAAACUUUACAUUUUUCCCAGAGGUGAAUAAAUUCAGUUUGAAACAGAAUCUCAAGGUUACAUCAUAGCUGCCAACAUCUGCUAACAUUAACGAGACACAAGCAGCUGUGGAGUCACACAGUAUUAGUGGGGUCUGCUCCCCGGAAAUUAAAAUAAAAUCUACUCAAAACUUUGCAUUUCCAGUCAUUUGAAGAACAUUUUACUAACUGCAUAGGAUUAAUAAACCUAAAACCAGUUUAUUAUCAAGGUAGACAUUUAUUUAUUAGACAAGGUAGAACUUUAUUUGAAAAUCAUACUUAGACAUUUUUAUCUGAACGUUAUGCAGCUGUUGGCCUUUUUUCUUUAAACAAGAAUGUUUAUCUAUCUGUGGAAAAGUAGAAAUUAUGAGUCAGACUUUUACUAUUUCAGUUCACAGUUCAUGAAGUGGGUCUGUCAUAGUUUCAGGACAAAACACCUUUUUCUUCGUAAAGAACCAGCCUGACAUUCUGCACUGUUCUUUAGUUUGACAUUAUUUAAGUGACUCCAGAGAUAUUUGGGUAAUUAAUUACAAAACAACACAACAGUCACUAAUCAAACUUCAAAAAAGAGCAAUAAGAGUAAUUAACAAGGCUAAGGACCAGGAUCAGACUAACACAUUAUUUAUCCAAAUAUUUUGCACAUAUUUUGCAUGUAAAUAUAUAUAUAUAUAUUUAUAUAUAUAUAUAUAUUUAUAUAUAUCUUUACUGUUUUCUUUAGAGGCUGGUUCUAGGCCAGAUUUUCCACAGGGGCCGUGCAGACAGUGUUUUUAUGGAGACACUUAAAAAAAGAAUUAAACAAAAACAGAUUAAUAUUUCAUCAUUUAAUAAUGUGAACAAAGAGCCACUUGUGUCUCCAGAGAUUCAGGUUGCAGGUCUCUGAUUUAGCAGAUGGAAAGUGUGAUCCUAUCUCCAUACAGCAGUUAAAGUACCAUCAUUUUUAAUUCAUUUAAUUAAUUUUUAUUAAAAAUAAUUUUUAUGUAUUUUUAAUAAUACCUUAAAAAGAAAAUUGUGAAGAAGAAAUAUCUACCACUGAAUAUUUAAAAAGAUAUUUAUUUAGUGUAAUUUCUUUAGAGCCCCACAGUUUCCAUCCUCUCUGAAAUUGUUCAGCUUAUAAUGCCUCUUUUCACUUUUCACAUUUUUAAAAGCGUUUUUGCUUUUAAGGAUCGGAUUUUUUUCCUUUUUGCUAUUCUGCUGGUUUUACGGGUUUUACUUUGUUUGGACUGAAAGCUGUCAAAUCUGGUUACUGCCAAAUGGCGCCAUGUUUGUUUUUUUAAUUAGCGCGCGUGAGGCGCAUGCGCCGUGCUGGAUAGAAAUAUGACGUGAGCGUUUAAAAGGCCCAGUUCGACCAGGCCGCACCGAGACACUAAACCAGUAUUCUGAUAUUCAUCCGCCCUGGAACCCGGGUUUUAAAAUCUCCUUUUCUCCCAGGACGCUGAAGUGGACGCCCAGCCUAAAAACUACAAACUUCUGCGGAUUCACCUGAAAUCGUCUCCGUGUUGAUUGGGCGCCUAAACACACCUGCUGAGAAUCAGGUGGAGUGGACGAACAGGCCGCGGGACCGCCAUCUUUGAAAUCGCUGUGUUUGUUACAAGCAGCAGAGGACCGACCCGGCCAUGGCGUCUCAGCGGUGGUUUGUCUGGCUGCUGAUGAAGACAAGCUGAGGGCCGCCAUCUUUGAAAUCGCUGCUUUGUUACAAGCACACUGCAGGUACAGAGGGAUGCUGGUAUCCAUCUCCAGGGGUCAAAGGGCGAGAGACGGGUUCCCCCCAUAUUCAUCUUUUGGCCAAAAAAAGUGCAGCAGAAGGCCACCUGACCAUGGCAUCGCAGCGAUGGUUUGUUUGGGUGCCGGGGUCCCUGAAAUAUGAGGAAAAAAUGGCGUCUGGAGCCAGCAGCUGAUCGAUUAUGGAUAAACUACAAUCAAGCUGAGGAUCGAUUCCCUACAAGGUGCCUGGCGGAUCCGCCCAACCCAUCAAAGGUUUGUUAAGUCAAAGAACUGUUCCAAUGGCGGGUCCAGAAGACAUCUCAAAGUAAGAGCUGCUGCUGGGUUUGAUGCUGAAGCGUUUGGCUAUGCUGGUUUGUUUUGAUUCUCUGCUGAGAAUCUAUGCGCUGAGAAGGAUUCUGCUGUUGAAAAUCCUUCUGUCUUGGGUCUUUUUGCUGUUUACUGCUGUGGUCAUGUGACCUGGGAAGGUUUAGGUGUAACUAGCAUGUUGGAAUCUGAAGUUCAUGGCUGAAAGUCAGUUGUGAUGUGAAAGAUGGCUGCCAAAGAUAUGGCAACAUUUUAGAGGAUGCAGGAAGUGAUUCAGCUUAGGCAUAAUAAAUAUCACCAUCAUAAUCCUUGAUAACAUACCUGCAUAUUAUUAGUGAUAAUUUAAUGUGGCUAUGUUGACAUUAAUAUAGCUGCAUUAAGAUAAUUAUCUUUUCUGUGAAUAUUAUCAAAUAUACUUUUGGGUGAAAAUAAGGUCUUUUACAUUUCUACAUACAUUUUUUUUAUUUUUUGUAUCUACUUAAUAUUUAGUUUGAAAUCUAAUCUAAAUAUUCUUAAAACGGCGUCCAUACUAUAAUAAUCUAAUAGCUCAACAAAUUUUAUUCGCGUUCAACAACAAUUUAAACGUGAAAAUCGAUUUAUUUCUGCGUCGACUCGGCGGACAGAUUCAUUUCAUUUCAUUUCUUCUGGACGACGACGGUCAACAGAGAUCUGCUGGAGGUCAGAGGUCAGAGGUGAGGUUUACACAGCCUAAUCCACCACCUCUUAUUUGCAGGUUUAAAUCUGAGAUUAACUCAGUUUUCCUUCCAGAGAUGAUCCAGUUGGACCCGUCUUUCAGUGUUAAGUUUGUUUUUAACCCAGUUUUCCUCCUAGACUAAGCUGCUGGAUGACCUGUUGGUUCACCAACUGUUUCUUUCUCCCUUUAGCUUUUAAAAUCACACAAACUGUUUCUCUUUAGAUGAAGCCACCAGAGGACCUUCUGCUGCAGCCAACUCUUUUCUCCUAUAGGAUCCUCCUGGAUCCUCUUUUUCUGUCUUUCUCUUUAUUCUAUCUUUUCAAUCCCCGGGGGUCGUGACAGAUGGCCUUUCUUAUAGAGCCAACUUCUGGUUCUGCUGGAAGGUUCUUCCUGUUAAAGGGAAGAUUUUCCUCUCCACUGUCACUGCAUGCAUCCUCAAUAUGAGGCAUUGCUUUACCUUAUGUAACUUUUAACCAAUGUUUGAUAACUGCAGUUUUCUUUUUAAAUUUUCUUUGUUUUUUUGAAAGUCUUCUUGUUAAAGGGAUGCUUUUCUUCUCCACUGUCACCACUUGAAUCCUCGAUGUGUCUUACGGUGAUGGAGACUGGUUUUGAGCUCAUGGUUGAGCGUUUAAGGUCUUGUCAACACCACAUGGAUGUGGACUGAGGGGAUUUAGAAGCCAGUCAGCAGUUUUUGUUGAGAUGGAGACUGGAAACACCGGAUGGCCUCAGACUGGUAGUUAAUGUUGGUAUCAAGAUGGGCACUAUGGUAUUGGACUCUGAACCCAACAAAAGGAAAUGUUGCGUGCUACUUCUUGAAGCCACUUGUCAAGGCUUUGAAGUCGUCGGAUGAGUUAAAGGAAAUUGGUAACGAAGGAAUACAACGAAACGGUAAAUCCAUUCCCUGCAGGAAAAACACGGUAGGUUAUAUGAGAGGAAGAUGUUCUGAUCUUGGGUACAGCAACCAGAACAGAUCCUGUUUUCUCUAGUCUGUGAUCAAAUAUGUGUAAUUCAUUCUAAAAGGUCGCCUAUUGAAAGUCAAGAACAAAUGUAAAGGUGUGUGAACAACGGCAGGAUAACGGAAGGAUAAUACCCCGUCUAAAGAUCUUCAUCGCCCCUCCGCUGAUGGCUGACCUUAGUGACCCUACCGUCGGGCUCAGCAGUCUUCCUCAAGAAAUGCUACAGGACGGAUGGAAAAGCCCUUCAUCGCCUCCCGCUGAUGGAUGACCUCAGUGACCCCAUCACCAGGCUCAGCAGAUUUCCUGGAAGAAACCCUAGAAGUGUUCCCAGAUGAGCAGGAUGGACGGACGGACGGAUGGAAAAGCCCUUCAUCGCCUCCCAAGGAUGGACGGACGGACGGAUGGAAAAGCCCUUCAUCGCCUCCCAAGGAUGGACGGACGGACGGAUGGAAAAGCCCUUCAUCGCCUCCCAAGGAUGGACGGAUGGAUGGAUGGAUGGAAAAGCCCUUCAUCGCCUCCCAAGGAUGGACGGAUGGAUGGAUGGAAAAGCCCUUCAUCGCCACGGACGGAUGGAUGGAUGGAAAAGCCCUUCAUCGCCUCCCGCUGAUGGAUGACCUCAGUGACCCCAUCACCAGACUCGGCAGGUUUCCUGGAAGAAACCCUAGAAGUGUUCCCAGAUGAGCAGGAAUCCUCCUGGAUCAUCCGAUUUCGUCCUUCAUCGCCUCCCAACGACGGACAAAAGAAAAUGACUGAACUUGAAACAACUCAGUUUCUUUUUUUUUUCUGUCUAGGAUAAUUUUGUUUAGAAGUUUCAUAAUUUUAUUUUUAUACAUUUAAAAUCUUUCAUUGUUAAAGGUUAGUUAGAAUUUAAUGUCUGGUUUAGGUUACUGGAGGAUAAAUCAGUCAUUUUUCAACUGUUAACAUUUUUGUUUCUCGGUUAUUUUUCUCCACAGAAACUACACCUGGUCUGGC